rnacentral:lncRNA from 1 species
CUGGCAGCUACAGGCCCUGUGACAGGCAGAGUAGCCCAGAGUCUCCACAUCGGUGACAAUGAAUAGAUCAACCAAUCCCCUUGUGUCUCAGCUCCAUAACUGUAUCAUUCCACAACUUCCCAAGUUCUGCUUAUUCCACCGCUCACUGAGGGAAUCCUUCGCCCUCUGCGUACCCCAAGGACCAUACAGAUGCACCCAAUGUGGCCACUGCCAGGCUAAGGUAGGCGGCUGCGUCACUGCUCUUAGAGGCCUUUUUUCUAAGAGCCACAUUCUGAUUCCCAAGUUGGAGCCAGCUGAAAACAGGACCUGGAGCCCUCUGCCUAUUAAUACAGUAAGCAGUGGGGUCUAGGGAACUGCAUGCUGAGAAUCAAGACUUCUGUACCCGGUAAGGCCUCUAAUUGGCUGUGUGACCACAAGCAAGAUCCUCACCUCUCUGUGCCUCAGUGUUCUUGGAGGCAAAAUAAAGCUAAUGGAGAUAACUAUGCUGGUUUUAAAUGUGCAAAAAUAAUAUAAGAAGGAAAACAUUAUAAAAGGUAAUAGC